rnacentral:lncRNA from 1 species
GGUCAAUCUUUGGGCUGUCCAGUGCUCUGAAGGUCAAUCCUGCUGCUAUACGUGUAAUGUCAUUGUUGCUUUUUUUUGGCAAUCAGUUAUCUGCUUCAGGUGAUUUUUGUUCUACAUGCAUGGCAGAGCGUCACAGGCUUUACAAAGCCAGUUGAGUCAGUAAAGCUUUGACGUUACGCUAGGUGCUGGUGCAACAACUGGAGCAGUAAAGCUUUGAGUCAGUAAAGCUUUUACAGUUUCAAUGCUUCUUGCAAAACUGAACUCCUUUUAUGCUCUCAACAAUUUGACUCGACAACAUUUAUGUGCGUAGGUGAGUGAAAAUUCCUUUUGUGCAGAAGGUGCUACCAAUUUAGAGAUUGCUAAGAAAACCAUGCAUAUACAUAUAGCGACAACAGCAACAUGGAAAAUUAAAUAGUUCUUGCUUUGCUUGGUUUACGACCAUUAUACUAUUACAUUCAGCCCAUAAUCUGAUGUCAAUGUUCAGACUUAUUAAAAGUUAAGGUACAUUCUGAAUUCUUAAUUACUACAUAUCAGUUCGAGAGAAUUAUCUUAGUCAAUACACUUGAUCCUACAAGUACUUAUGUCACUUAGCUAGAUGUAUUCUAGACUUCAUGGAUACCUAAUGAUUAGUGACAGCUAUACAUCUAUAUACUACCCUUACAACGUUCCCAUGAAACAUAUAUUGCAAAAACAUGCCACCUAUUUAAGGCUUUCUCUUUCUGUGAGCUUUUAGCAACAACCUAAUUCUAAAGUUUUUUUUAAUACAACUGCAGUGUGAUAAUAGCAUAUUCAUUGCAGGAUAACACUAAUGUAUGAUCCCUCUUUUUUGUAGCCUUUUAGUGUAAUGGCUACUUACAAUAGCCGCUUAUGGUAAUUACUGGCGCCACACAGUUCAGCUAGAAUUAUUACCUUAAAGCGAAUAUUCUUCUCUAUUGUUGGCAGAGAUGGCCUAGGUAUACCUCUAACAAGUAUUGUUUCCACCCUUCUUGUCUCAUAAUGUAUAGCACUACCUAUUUGUCAUCUUCCAAAUUUGAAAUGCUUGAAUGGUUCUUUAUGAUUCUGGCCAAUCAGGGUCACCACUAUAAUAGUGGCAUACAUGUAAGGACAGUUUUGGCGCAGAGAGUUCAUGUCUUUCUAACUUUUUAGUUGUUGCAGAAGCCAUGUACUCACCACACAUUUCAAGUUAUAUAUAUCAUGCAUAUAGGAUUUUAAUUAAAAUAUGUUUUAUGUAUGUUUUUUAGUCUUUUUUCUUCCUACAAUAGGCCAUUUAGACAUACGAUAUUUUAUAUUUAGCCCACAUAUGCAGCCUGAGUUAAGAUACUUUGAUGCUUUAAGAAUGAAGAUGCCAUUUUAGUUCCUACAACAAACCAUUUAGGCUUUCAGGAAUUAGCUUCUGUGCUUAUUAGCGAUCCAUUAUUUUUAUAUCAUUCAUUGCUCUUUUUAUUGAUGCCACUUCAUAGUCAUGAUAAAGUGUUAGAAUUAGGGUUUCUCAUUACUUGGGCUAACCCUAACCAGGGUGCCAUAUAAUUAGGGAUACAUGGGCCUCAUGGGCCUAGCCACAUGGGCCUUCAUUACACAUACUCCAACACCCCCCCGCAGUCUGAACUACCGGCGCAGCGGAGUUGCAGACUGGACUCGAAAAGAAUCACACACACGAGCCCCCCACAGACACAACUAACCACUGGUGAUGUUGAGGCUGGAGCGGAACUCGGCGAAGGUCGAGGACGGGAGGCCCUUGGUGAAGAUGUCGGCAAACUGGAGGUGGUCGGGACAUGGAGGACCCGAACAUCGCCGACAGCAACCCGGUCCCGGACGAAGUGUAGAUCGAUCUCCACAUGCUUGGUCCUCUGGUGCUGCACAGGGUUGGUGGAGAGGUACACCGCACUGACGUUGUCGCAGUAGACCAGUGCGCUCCGGGAGAGAGGGCUGUGGAGCUCGGCGAGGAGCUGCUGGAGCCAGGAAGCCUCAGCCACGCCGUUGGCGACAGCGCGGUACUCCGCCUCGGCACUGGAGCGGGAGACGACCGGCUGGCGCUUGGACGACCAAGACACCAGGUUGCCGCCUAGGAAGACGGCGUAGCCGGAGUUGGAGCGGCGGGUGUCCGGACACCCGGCCCAGUCGGCGUCAGUGUAGACGACGAGCUCGGUGGAGGAGGAGACCGAAGUCGACGGAGCCGCGGAGGUAGCGAAGGAUCCGCUUGAGAGCGGCGAGGUGUGGCUCCCGGGGAUCAUGCAUAUGAAGAUAGAUCUGCUGAACUGCAUAGGUGAUAUCCGGCCGGGUGAAAGUGAGGUACUGAAGUGCCCCGGCAAGACUCCGAUAUGCAGUGGGAUCUGUCACUGGGGUACCCUCAGCCUCCGAUAGCUUGCCCUGUGUGUCAACCGGAGUGGAGCAGGGCUUGCAGUCAGUCAUCCCAGCUCUCUCCAGGAUGUCAAGAGUGUACUGCCGCUGGUGAAGGAGUAAUCCAGCAGGGUGAGGCUCAACAGUGACCCCGAGGAAGUGGUGGAGCCGACCCAGAUCCUUCAUAGCAAACUCCUGCUGAAGUGAUGCGAUGAUCCGUCGAAGGAGGGACUCACUGGAGGCUGUGAGGACAAUGUCAUCAACAUAGAGCAGCAGAUAUGCAGUCUCAGCCCCAUAGUGAUAGAUGAACAAAGAGGUGUCUGACUUGGCCUCCACAAACCCCAGAGUCAGCAGAAAAGCAGCAAACCGAUGGUUCCACGCUCGGGGGGCCUGCUUGAGGCCGUAGAGAGACUUCUUGAGCCGACACACCAUGUCGGGACAAGAAGAGUCAACAAACCCCGCCGGCUGACUGCAGUAGACUGUCUCAGUAAGAACGCCAUGCAGGAAGGCAUUCUUGACGUCCAGCUGAUGCACGGGCCACCCGCGCGUGAGAGCCAGUGAGAGCACCGUGCGGACGGUGGCCGGCUUCACCACCGGGCUGAAGGUCUCGUCGUAGUUGACACCGGGCCGCUGAGUGAACCCCCGGAGAACCCAGCGAGCCUUGUACCGCUCAAGGGUGCCGUCAGCCCGGCGCUUGUGGGUCCAGAUCCACUUGCCGGUGACGAUGGAGCCCGGCGGUCGUGGCACCAGAUCCCAUGUCUGGUUGGCGAGGAGGGCCGCGUACUCCUCUUCCAUCGUGCGGCGCCAGUGAGGGUCCAGCAAGGCCUCGCAGACGGAAGAGGGUACCGGUGAGACCUGCGAGUCCCCGGGCAUCGCCGCAAGAGCCCGGGGCUGCAGGGUCCCAGCCGCGUGUCGCGUCACCAUCGGGUGAACAUGACGCGGGUGUCGGUGAAGGAGCGGCGGGUGGUACACCGGCGUCGCGGCCCGAGAAGCUGGGUGCCUCGUCGGCGGGGUCGGUGUCGCCGGCGGGGAAGACGUCGCCGGUGGCGCAGGUGACCCCGGCGAAGAGGGGGCCACCGGCGCCAGCCGGGCACGUCGCUGGUAGACGCGCACCGGCUGGGCGAAACGUGCCGGUGGGGCCGGAGUCGGAGACGCCGACCCGGGACCCACAUCGGGAGCACGUCACUGGUAGACACGCACCGGCUGGGCGAAGCGUGCCGGUGGGGCCGGUGUCGAAGGUGCCGACCCAGGACCCGUGUCAGGCGCAGGGGCCGGGCCGGAAGGUGACCCCUCGGGACCCGGGCAGGGUAGAGGCCCCGAGGUGUCACGGGCGACAGGCGACGUAGCAGUACCUGCAGGAAACACCGGGAAAGGUGGCUGGACCACCGGGUCAGUAGGAAACACAGAGGAGAGGUCAAGCUCCGAGGUGGAAGCAGGAGUGGUAGUGGUAGAAAAGGGGAAGAUCGACUCGUCGAACACCACAUGGCGAGAUAUGAGGACUCGACGAGAGGUAAGGUCGUAGCAUCGGUACCCCUUGUGAUCCGGGGAGUACCUAAGGAAGACACAGAGAGUCGAACGGGGUGCCAACUUGUGAGGAGCGGUGGCGGUGGUGUUGGGGUAACACGCACACCCAAAGACUCGAAGGUGAUCAUAGCGAGGAGGGGUACCAAAGAGAGCGUGGUGCGGUGUGGGAGCUAGACAAGCAGCGGAAGGAAGGCGGUUAAGGAGGUAAGUGGAGGUGUGCAAGCUCUCGGCCCAGAAGCGAGCAGGAAGAGAGGCCUGGAGCAGGAGAGUGCGCACGGUGUUGUUGGUGGUGCGAAUCAUGUGCUCAGGCUUGCCGUUUUGAGAGGAGGUAUACGGGCAAGACAUGCGCAACUGGACACCGUGAGAGAGAAAGAAGGCGCGAGAGGUGGAGUUGUCGAACUCCCGACCAUUGUCACACUGGACAGCCUUGAUGGUGAGGCCGAACUGUGUGGAGACCCAAGCGAAAAAGUGGACAAGUGCGGGGAAAGCAUCAGACUUUGCACGUAAAGGAAAAGUCCAGGAAUAAUGAGAAUAAUCAUCCACCACCACAAGAUAGUACUUGUAUCCAGAAAUACUGAUGACAGGAGAGGUCCAUAAGUCACAAUGUACAAGGUCAAAAAUGCGGGCCGCAUGAGAAGAAGAACUAGAAAAAGGAAGACGAACAUGACGGCCCAGUUGGCACGCAUGACACAAAUGCUCAUCGUGAGCCCGAGUACAUCGAAUAUCGGAACUACGACUAAGCUGCAUCAAAGCAUCACGUCCAGGAUGGCCGAGACGCCGGUGCCAAGUAGUGGAGGUAGUGGUGGCGAAGGCAGCUGAGAAAACUGGCGAAGGAGGCGAGGCAGAUGCCGGAAAGCGAAGAGUGUAAAGGGGCCCCGUGCUGUCACAUCGGAGCAGAGGACACCGGGAAGCCAAAUCCUUCACAGUAAGACCAGAAGAGUCAAACUCCACAGAACAAGAAUUGUCAGCUGUAAAACGACGAAUAGAAAGGAGAUUGUGAACCAUAGAAGGAGCAACAAGAACAUCAGGAAGACGAAAGGAACCAUGGGGGCCGGCGGCACCCACAGAGGUAACAGGAAGACAAGACCCAUUAGCGACCAUAAUGGACGAAGGGAGAUGGAGAAGGAGGGUGAACAGAAGAAAGUAUACCAGGGUUAGGAGUGGUGUGGUAAGUAGCCCCAGAGUCGGCGACCCACUCCGGCCCGACUGGAGGUGUCAGGGCCAUGGUGCUGAAGGAGUGCGCCAAGGCCGCCUGGUCCCAGCCGGCAGACCCGGGCAAGGGUGCCGGUGGAGUGGCCCACGAGGACGCGGGGAACGGGGCCGCCCACGGGGCCACUAAGGGGAAACCCGGGGUAGCACCCGCGAGCAUGGCCGCCGGCGGGCGAGGCUCGCCACCGGAAGCCUAGAGCGGCCACAUGGAGAUGCGCCCUGACCAUGGGUGGUGGAAGGAUGGCCAGGGUGCACCCCGUGGAGGUGGCAGCGUCGUGUUGCCCCCACGACCUGCUCCACGUCCCCCACCACGGCGACGGCGGCCGCCACGGCCCCCCCACCCCUGUUCGGCCCGGGGGGAAGAGGACCCAGAAGUGACGAGUGUGGUGGGGCGGCGGGACGAGGCGGAGGAGUAGCAGCGAGAGCAGUCGAGGAGGACGAGGACCACGGGGCGGGGGUGGACCCAAGCUGUAGGCCCUGAGUGAGCUCCUCCAUGACAAGGUCGUCACGGACCUGCAGGAAGGUGGGGAAGGGCCGCUGCCUGGUGAUCCACGUCCGGAGGUAAGAGUAGCGGUCACUGAGCCCGCGGAGAACGUUGAGGACCAAGAUGCGGUCCUCCACGGGCCAGCCGAGGUCGCCGAGGGAGUCCGCCAUGCCCUUCAUCUGGCGACAGUACUCGCUGAUGGAGAGGUCGCCCUGGACGUAGGUGCGGAAACUCGCGUCGAGCCGCAGAGCCCGGGCUUCGGCGUUGCCCAGGAACUGGCCCUCGAGUGCCAGCCAGGCCCCGCGAGCACUCGGGGUGUUGCGGACGAGGUCGUGGAGGUCCAGGAAGAUCGUCCCCAGAAUCCAGGAGAGGACGACGCUGUCGAGGCGAAGCCACGAGGGGGUCGGGACCGCGCCCGCGGUGUCGAGGAGGACGUGGUCGUCGAGGGCGUAGCGGCGUAGGGUGAGGAGGACCAAGUCCCUCCAGCGAGCGUAGGAGGGCGACUCGGGCUCGAGGACGACCGGGACGAGGAGGCGUAUGUUCUGGACGCCCCCUGCCUGGUAGUGGAGCUGCACCACGUGGGGGUCGGCCGGAUCGUGCCAGACGAGCGGAGCCGAUCCCGAGGACGUGGUCCCGACGUCAGGCGAGGCUGGAAGGCCGAGGAACUGCUCGGCGUCGGCGAUCUGGCGGGCCAAUGCGUCGGCCGCGUCACGCUCGCGCUCCCAAGCGAGAGCGGCCUCACGCACGCGGGUCCGGCCCUCCGCAGCCGCAGCCCGAGCAGUGGCGAGAGCGGCGAUGAGUGUGGAGUUCGGACGAUGCAUCACGGGCGGCGGAGGCGGUGCAGGGAAGGGGGCUGCGCCUGCGCCCACAGCUGGACGCGGGCCGGCAGCAAGCCCCCUGGACAGGGCGCCACCGGCCGUGAGCAGCGGCCUGGGCAGAUCGGCCGUGUCCAGGGGCAUGCCAAGGCCUGCAGCAAUGGCGGCAGCCGCUCCCCAGGCGUAGGCCGCUGCGGUGGCUUCGUCGUUCGCGCCCAGGAUGAGUGUAGGGGCAUACGCGACGUCCGCCGCGGGAUCUGCGCGCGUCCUGUCCGCGUCGCCCGCAGGGGCGCGGUCCCCGCGCGCCGUACGCGCUGCUGCCGCGCGUUCUGCCGCGUCCGCGCGCGCCGCCGCGUCCGCGCGCUCUGCGUCCGCGCGCGCCGCCGCGUCCGCCGGCACCGCGUCCGCGACGGCCGCCACAAGGAGAGGGCGGGCCGCGACAGGAGCUCGGGGCUGGCGACCUGCGGCGGCGGCGGCGGCUUGGGCCCAGGAUGGGUAGGGAAGCGCCGGGAACUGUUGGAAAUAGGGAGGAGGAGGAGGGGGAGGAGGAUCCCGGCCUGCCAUGGCGGCGGCGGCGGCGCCCAGGCAGCUGGCCGGCCGGCGGCGGCGGCUUGCCUGCCUGGAUGGAGGCGGCUGGGAGGAGGAGACUAGGCUUUGAUACCAUGUUAGAAUUAGGGUUUCUCAUUACUUGGGCUAACCCUAACCAGGGUGUCAUAUAAUUAGGGAUACAUGGGCCUCAUGGGCCUAGCCACAUGGGCCUUCAUUACACAUACUCCAACAUAAAGAGUUUUCAUAGAUGCAAUGCCGCUCAUAUGUACAGAUUCUAUUCUUAGUUCUUAGGAUUGUUCUAGCCAAAUAUGAAGCUAAAUAUUUGCUCUAUGCAUUUUAGUUGGCAGUGCUACCAUACACCAUGACUUUGACCACUAUAGAUGGACCUGACGAAUCGUCAUGCUAUGCCAACAAUUUCAAGCUCCUUCAAAGGCUUCUCUGAUGACUUCCUGCUGUCGACAGGUUACCUUCCAUUGGGGUAGUCACAAUGGUGAGAUUCCUUAGUGUUCUAUUGAAAUUAUAUAUGCCAUACUUUGCCCUUAUCACUCAAAUUAAAUUAUUUUACAUUUCAUUUCCACACACUACGCUUUACUGUUUAACACGGUCAAAUUGUGUGUUCCUGCGGUAACUAUAUCUGCCAUGGAGUGGCCUUUAUUACUACACAGGCUGUACUUUUGAUGUCUUCAUGUUGUAUUUUCCUAAUGCGCUUAGAGGCUUAGAACAUCGUGCUAUCCACAUAUUGCCACUUCAUGCCAUGAUCCACAUAUAUUCCUGCUCCAAAUUCUUUAACUUACACCAAUUAUAGCUCUCCAAAGAUAGGGACUUAGUUUACUCAUUACCCUUAUUGUAUUGUCCUGUUCAAGGUUACCUCUCUGCCCACCUUAUUGUUUCUAUAUGCUUCUUUUCCAUAUUCUUAUUUAGGGGCUUUUGACCUCCUUUUUCAAGGUACCUGACAUGCAUUAUUCCCAUUGCUUUCAGAUGUUGACCUCCCUUUAUAUCGUGGAUUACUCCAAUUCUUGCAGUUCUGAAAUGAUCAGAAACAACCAUUGAUAUGCACUGAAACAUUGGAAGGGCAACACGCUGCGAGCACAUAUAUAUCAAUCCAUGCAUCAGCACCGAUUGUGUUGACUUAUUUAAGGAUGUCUAGCUUGAACUCAUGCUAUAUGCCUGUAUAAUAUUCCUCCACCUUCAUGAUUUACCACACAAAUUAUAUAUGUAUCUUAUAAAUAGUAUCAAUAUAUACCUCUCCUUAUGAAUUAUUCAUUUUAAAUUAAAUUGAAUUGCAAAUAAUCCCAUAAUCUGUAUUUUGAACAUCCACGCACUUUCUCCAUAUUUAUAAUUUUUCAUAUAGCUGCUCAUGCGCGCGAUGGCACGCGCCCUUUUUUUUCUCGAACAGGAGA